CCAGCCCUAGCCCGGGAUACUAUUAUUUUUUUUUUUUUUUUUAAAGUUAGUAAUUGAAAACAAGGUUAAAACCAGUCAGCGGGUGCGGGCUGAAGGCUGUCUGCUAACGGUGAGCGAGUGAUUUACUGGAUUUUAAUGCAACGACGAUUAUCUUUUAAAAAAACGGAGCGGAGGAUUUGGAGGCUCGCCCUCUCGUAAGAACCGAGUUUAAAGCCAACACAAGUCGCCGCUUGGAAAACUCGAGCGAGCCCCAGUGCAACCCCUCGGCUCCCAAACCCGCAGGAUGGAGUCUAAUGGUUGGGGAACUCCGGGUCUUCACCCGCACAUGGGGCUCACCCCUACCUUCCAGCUGCCCAGCUUGAGGUUGACGGGCUGUGAGGAGGAACUGGAAAAGCCAAGCCUCCUUUCACCUCCCCCCCUGUCCAGGUCGGACCCAUCUGGCAGCCCCGAUCCCCCCUCUCCUUGUCUCCACACCUCGCACUAGCCGAAAAAAGCGGCGUCCCCCAGAAAAAAAGCUGCGGGUCUUGCACACAAUGGUUCUCGUAUGGGGCGCUGCAGGCGGACAACCGGCCCCUUGUUAACGAGACGGGAUCCAAAGACCGCUUUUCCAGGGAAGAAAGCCGAGCUGCGCACAGCAUUUCAAUGUGUGUUCAGUCAAAAAAAGAAAAAAAAUAAAUAUAAGGGGAAUUAUUA